rnacentral:lncRNA from 1 species
AUGGUUCUGGACACCGCGGGUAAACUGAGGCCCGCGUCCUGGCUCUGCUCGUCGCCUCGGCCCUGCGUUACGCCUAGCCCCGGGCCGGCUGGAAGCUUUUCUCUGGGGGAUGCAGGGGUGGCGACGUUUGGCGCCCAGCUGGAGGAGGCGGGCGUGGGGCUUCGGUGGGGAGCGCGGCACCUGGUUCGGAGGCGGGGGCGCUGCGGUCCCGGCGCCGGCGGCCUCCGGUCCCUCGGCUCCCGGCGGGGCGGGCCCGGGGAGGAGCUCGGCGCGGCCCCGCCCCGAGGCGGAGCCGGGGGCCGGCCGGAGCGGACCAGGCGGGGUGGGCCGGGGACGCGAGGCGGAGCGGGGCCCCACACAGGCCGAGGCGGCUGGCUCGGGCCCCUACGGUCCCGGCGGCGGCGGGAGGAGGAAGCCAGGCGGCUGGAGGAGGAGGGAGGCGGAGGAGGCCGAGGCUGGAGCGCCGCUCGCCGCAUACUCACUUCCCCGGCUCAGCAGGGAAAGGUACCGCGCGCCCUCUCUUCGGCCCCGGCCCCCGGGCCCCUGGUCCCCUGGUCCCCUGGUCCCCGACCCCCAGCCCUCGCUCGGGAGCAGGCAGGGGCUGCGGCCGCCGCGGGAGGGCGAGGGGCCCGGAGCGGCCCCUGGGCUCGGCCGGCCCGGGGCUCCGGCGGCCAGCGCGGCGCUCGGGCCGGAGGGCUGGGGUGCGCGGCGUUCCCAGCGGGGGGCGCGGCGCCCCCUCGCUCGCGUCUAGGCAGCUGCGUCGGGCGGGGGCCGGGGGUCCCGGGUUGGGGGCUGCACGGGCAGGGGGUGGCGAGCCGCAGGGAAGCGCCUGGACGCCCGGCGGGCGCGCUCCGUGGGCGCAGACAAAGCCGGGCGCUGACGCCCCACGACGAAUCGGGCGGCCGGAGGGUGGGCGCUGGGGAAGAAGAGAAAGCUCCGGUGCCGGCGAGGACGCAGGGAGAGGCUGGGCUGCCGUCCUUCCGGGCAUCCGGGUGGUCUUUUCGCGGGGUCCCAGGCAGGGUGGGGAGCAGCUCUCUCCGAAGGGCCAACGGAGGGGCUCACGGGCUGCUCGGCAAGGGGUAG